ACGGGUACGGGGAUUAGGGUUCGAUUCCGGAGAGGGAGCCUGAGAAACGGCUACCACAUCCAAGGAAGGCAGCAGGCGCGCAAAUUACCCAAUCCCGACACGGGGAGGUAGUGACAAUAAAUAACAAUACGGGGCUCUUUCGGGUCUCGUAAUUGGAAUGAGUACAAUUUAAAUCCCUUAACGAGGAACAAUUGGAGGGCAAGUCUGGUGCCAGCAGCCGCGGUAAUUCCAGCUCCAAUAGCGUAUAUUAAAGUUGUUGCAGUUAAAAAGCUCGUAGUUGAAUUUCGGGAUUGACACAUCGGUCGUGCCUUAAGGGGUAUGAACUGGUGUAGUCAAUUUCUCACCUUCUGGAGAACCGCGAUGCCCUUAAUUGGGUGUCGCGGGGAACCAGGACCUUUACUUUGAAAAAAUUAGAGUGUUUAAAGCAGGCAUUUUGCUUGAAUACAUUAGCAUGGAAUAAUAAAAUAGGACGGCAUGAUUCUAUUUUGUUGGUUUCUAGGAUCACCGUAAUGAUUAAUAGGGAUAGUUGGGGGCAUUAGUAUUCAAUUGUCAGAGGUGAAAUUCUUGGAUUUAUUGAAGACUAACUACUGCGAAAGCAUUUGCCAAGGAUGUUUUCAUUAAUCAAGAACGAAAGUUAGGGGAUCGAAGACGAUCAGAUACCGUCGUAGUCUUAACCAUAAACUAUGCCGACUAGGAAUCAGACGAUGUUAAUUUUUUAAUGACUCGUUUGGCACCUUACGGGAAACCAAANUUUUNNGGGUUNNA
rnacentral:rRNA from 1 species